rnacentral:lncRNA from 1 species
CAGCUCUUGAGAGCAGGUUCCUUAAAGACAAUGAGUAGCCACUGCUGUUUGCCCUGGCCCAUCAAUGAGAAGAUCUGCUCUUAGAGCCCUGCUUUCCUGCUGAAGGCCCUGAAAUCACCUGUGUUCCAGGCCACCUGCUAACAAUAAAUAAUGCUGCCCUGAUGUGGGGAAUUAGCUCAAGUGGUAGAGCGCUUGCUUAGCACGCAAGAGGUAGUGGGAUCGAUGCCCACAUUCUCCAAGCUUUAUUAUUUAGACAUCGUGUCUCCAAACACUCAGGUCUCCAAACCCAAGUUAGUGUCUGAGAACAGGAUGCUGCUUUGGUUCAAGACGUAGGAGCAGCAAUAAUAGAGGGCUGGUGAUGGCUCCCUCUUGGCAUUCAGUAUAGUGUAGAUCUACCAUGUAAUUAAUUCUCUGUUUCUUUGAGGAGCUGUGAAACCAAGGGACAUAUACAACUGCUCUUUUCUCCCUGUUUCUACCUGCAGCUUUGUCCUAAAUGUGAGACAAUUAUGAAAAGUGCAGCGCAGAGCCACUUGGGUAAAUACAGCCCCGGCUUUCUGCUCAGGGGACAGAGUUUGAGGCACUGCAGAGGAACCGGCCAAAGUAUGAGACCCAUAUAUUG